UACGUAGGUGGCGAGCGUUGUCCGGAUUUACUGGGCGUAAAGGGCGUGCAGGCGGUUUGUUAAGUGCAGGGUGAAAGCUCCCGGCUCAACUGGGAGAGGUCCUUGCAUACUGGCGAACUCGAGGGAGGCAGAGGAAAGUGGAAUUCCCGGUGUAGUGGUGAUAUGCGUAGAUAUCGGGAGGAACACCUGUGGCGAAGGCGGCUUUCUGGGCCUUACCUGACGCUGAGACGCGAAAGCGUGGGAGCGAACCGG
rnacentral:rRNA from 1 species